GCGGAGGGAUCAUUACGAAAAGGAGUACCCGUACUCUUAAACCCUUUGUGAACCUUACCUACACGUCAGUUGCUUCGGCGGGAGGCCCCUGGGAGGGGCCCCGGGGCCCGGCCUGAGCCGGGCUCCCGCCGGAGGAGCGCAAACAUAAACUCUUGCUGUACCCCAGUGGAACGUCCGAGUCAAAAAUAAAAAAACAAGUUAAAACUUUCAACAACGGAUCUCUUGGUUCUGGCAUCGAUGAAGAACGCAGCGAAAUGCGAUAAGUAAUGUGAAUUGCAGAAUUCAGUGAAUCAUCGAAUCUUUGAACGCACAUUGCGCCCGCCAGUAUUCUGGCGGGCAUGCCUGUUCGAGCGUCAUUUCAACCACUCAGGCCCUGGUGCCUGGCGUCGGGGUGUUUCCGUGAAAGGAAAGCCCCCAGAGACAGUGGCGGACCCGCCGCGGCUCCGAGCGCAGUAGUAAAAUAUCUCGCUAUGGAGGUCCGCGGGGGGGUUUCCCGGCCGUAAAAACCCUCCCUGCACGGGGAGAAUCUCAAGGUUGACCUCGGAUCAGGUAGGAAUACCCGCUGAACUUAAGCAUAUCAAUAAGCGGAGGAAAAGAAACCAACAGGGAUUGCCCCAGUAACGGCGAGUGAAGCGGCAACAGCUCAGAUUUGAAAUCUGGCCCCCAGGGCCCGAGUUGU
rnacentral:rRNA from 1 species